UGAGUUAUUAAAAGUCAACGAGGUUUUGAUGGGCUGUUGGGUGUUGAAUUAGAUAGAUUGUCCCUCUUCAUCAAUAUCUUGUUGUAUUAUUCUCAGCUGUAAUUCAUCAUCACCAUCAUUUGCAAAUAACAUUUCGGUGGUCGACGAACAACAUUAACAAAUAAAUACGUGAAAGAUAUAUAUAUAUAUAUAUAUCUAUUCCGCUCGUAAUCACAUGUACCUAUACGUGUAUUAUAAGUAUACAAAAAGAAUUGGGACGUACGUUCACAAUAUUUAAGAUUUAUUUCAGAAUCGCCUAGCAGACAGCCUUGCAGAAGCUGCUGUCUGAACGAGGCAUCCUGAGAAAGGAACCGACCAUUGCCAUGAAAACCAGCUUCAAAGAGAAAGCAGAGAAGAACCCGCUUUCGUACAUAAAUACUGUUCAAUCAAGAAGCAAAGUCAUGAUAAGUGCAAGGGAACUUAUAUACGUUGAGGAGAAAUGGGCUUGUUUGAUCUUCUUGCUGCUGUUGUUACUUAGUUUGUGAGUUUUAAGACAAUAGAUGAGAGGAGUGCAGAAAAGGCCGCUGUUCUUUCUUUUUCUUCCUCUAGUUUCGAUCAAUCUGUUUGAUCUUUGAUACUUGAAUCUGCUUUAUGGAUCCAGUCUCUGUUGGAGAGAUGUUUAAGCAUCAGAUGUGGGAUGUGAAUCUGAGUUUGAGAUUUGAUCAAAUGAUAAGCAUCUGAGUUCUUCUGUUGGAUGAACAUUAUAUCGAAACUAACCUUAUUUUGUUACA